GUACUAUCUUAUUGGUUUCUCCCUUCUGACGAACCAUGAUGUCAUUAAUUUGAUGUCUUGGGGAAUCAGGACUGUUACUUUGAAAAAAUUAGAGUGUUUAAAGCAGGCUCACGCUUGAAUAUAUUAGCAUGGAAUAAUGAAAUAGGACGUUUGAUUCUAUUUUGUUGGUUUCUAGGAUCGAUGUAAUGAUUAAUAGGGAUAGUUGGGGGCAUUAGUAUUCAAUUGUCAGAGGUGAAAUUCUUGGAUUUAUUGAAGACUAACUACUGCGAAAGCAUUUGCCAAGGAUGUUUUCAUUAAUCAAGAACGAAAGUUAGGGGAUCGAAGACGAUCAGAUACCGUCGUAGUCUUAACCAUAAACUAUGCCGACUAGGGAUCGGAUGAUGUUAAUUUUUUAAUGACUCAUUCGGCGCCUUACG
rnacentral:rRNA from 1 species